rnacentral:rRNA from 1 species
GACGAACGCUGGCGGCGUGCUUAACACAUGCAAGUCGACAUGAGUGGCGAACGGGUGAGUAAUACGUGGGUAACCUGUCACCCUUUUUGGGAUAAGCCUUGGAAACGGGGUCUAAUACCGAAUUAAGGGGGAUGAGCUCGCGGCCUAUCAGCUUGUUGGUGGGGUGAUGGCCGACCAAGUCGGUGACGGGUAGCCGGCCUGAGGGGUGGACGGGGAACAUUGGAACGGGGAUGAUGCCCAGAGUCGGACGGGAGGCUGCAGUGGGGGAUAUUGCCCAAUGGGGGCAGGCCUGAGGCGGCGACGCCGAGUGGGGGAUGAGGGCUUUCGGGUUGUUAUUUUCUUUCUCUAUCGAACGGGUAGGUAGAGAAGAAGCGCCGGCUAACUACGUGCCAGCAACCGCGGUAAUAC